ACCUGCAUGCCAUACCAGUGUCUCCACAUUAUUUGGUUAUAAGGAUAACCAAUGCAUGUGGUACACAACGACCUACACUUGAUAUCGUUAUUGUCCUAGUAAUAGCAUAUUGUUUGAUCGCGAACCAAUUUAAAGACUACGUGAUAAAUUCUUCUUUAUCGAUCAAAGUAGUCCUAAGGACUUCAUCACAAUAUAAAAGUUCGUUAGAAGAUGUAAUCUUAUG
rnacentral:lncRNA from 1 species